ensembl:lncRNA
GUUAAGAAGAGCUGAGUACUCUGGGAUAUUUCAAACUGGUUCCUUUUUCCCCUCACUCUGCUGGAAGCUGGAGAAGAUUUUUCUCCAAUAUUUUCUUAGGGAACCUGGUCAAGGUCUAGAAGGUAAAUCUCACCCUAUUGUGGGGUCCCCCUAUGAAUCAGUCUCUGUGGAGUUUUUGACUCUCAGACUUGUCUGGGCUGAGCCUCCAGUAAUUUGUCAGUUGGAGUUCCCGGUUUCCUGCCCGGCUUUUGGUCCCCAAGUUCUUUGAAAACAACUCUGGAAUGCUAAUUGCCGGAGAUCUGUCAGGAGCAAGGAGAACACAGAUUUGAUUUGGUUUCAGUUCAUUCGUGCUCCACCCAAUGCUGGAUUCAGGCAAUGGAAGGGUGCUGCGCACUGUGCCUGGUACAUAAAUAAGAAGAAUACUUUCAAUCAAUGACUUUGUUGCCACCUUCACCUGCCCAGAGGAGAGGAGGACUUCCUGAGUGCAAACAUAUUUUGUGGGGCCUUUGUUGAAAAAAAAAAAAAAACAAUGGAAAGAAUGGAAUACUUGGAAAACACAUAUUUUAAACGGUUGGACAAAGAUAGCUGGUGCAUUUUUUUCUUCCUGCCAAGCCGUUUCCAUUUAGGAUUCAACAAAACCACAGUUCGACAUUGGAUUUAGAACCAAAUUUUCAAAGAAACACAUUGCCGGGGAACAUGCGCGGGAUUCCCACUGAUAAUCGCAUAAAACACGAAAGGAUGGAAUCUGACUGCCCAGUAUGGUUUCUCCUUCUGGCAUAUCAGCACUAUUCAUAAUAGCCAAGACAUGGAAGCAACCCAAGUGCCCAUCAACCGAUGAUUGGAUAAAGAUGUGGUAUACAUAUACAAUGGAAUACUACUCAGCCAGAAAAAAAAUACAAAUUCAUCCCAUUUGCAAAAACAUGGAGGGACCUAGAGGGAAUUAUGCUAAGCAAAAUAAGCCAGUCUGAGAAAGACAAACACCAGACGAUUUCACUCAUGUGGAGUAUAAACAAGUAUUUGGACAAAGAAAACAGUUCAGUGGUUACCAGGGGAAGGGGGGUUGGGGUGGCACAGGGGGUGAAGGGGAGCACUUACGUGGUGACAGACAAGAAAUCAUGUAGAACUGAAAUCUCACGUUGAUGUAAACUAUUAUGAACUCAAUAAAGAAAAACCAACUUACCUUGCAUGAUCACCGUAAUGAGUAAAGGAAUUGAGGUACAUAGACAUACGUUGUAAACUAUAGUAUACUAUGUAAACCUUGGUUGUAAUUAAUGUGAUCUAUGUAAGAAAAAGUCUUUCAUUCUGUUUAAAUUUGUCUGUUUCCACACCGUCUUUGGGCAAUUUGGGUAAUCACUUUGGGCAAUUUACCUUUGUGAAAUUGAUCAGUUCACAUUUAUUAAGCAUAUGCUUUGUGCAAGGCCUUGUGCUACAUGCUAUGGAAGAUAUAAGGUGACUGGCACAUGAUUCUCAUUCUCUUGGAUCAUACAAACUAGUGAGCGGUUUAAGACCCUCAAAAAUACUUAUCACAACCUUUUUCUCCACUCCUUGUAGCUCUAGUGGGGUUGUUGGCGUGGAGCACUCUCCCCUUUUGUCACUUUCUGUGUUCUCAGAGUAUUAGUUGGAGUUCCUUGAUUUUAAGAAGCAGAAAUGAACUCUGGCUGAGUUGAGCAAAAAUGGGACUUUGGGUGUGUCAUGAAGCUAUUAGCAGAAUUUACAAGAAGUGUCUUAGGUAACUUCCCUAAAAGCAGAGCAUAGGGAUUCUGGUGCCCAUGGUUUAUGAGGGUUUGUUCUUCAGGGAAACUCAUGAGGAAAUGAGGGAAACAGUAUAGGUGAGGGCAGGGAGCUAAGAAAGGAUGUGAUCUUAGGUAAAAUCUACUCUUAGCUUGUCCUAGUCAAGGAGCCUGGAGUUUUGUACCUCCCUAUCCGUGCAUCAUUGGCUGCAUUGCGUCAUUGGCUUGGGGUGAGGGAUACUGAAACCUCUCAGACAUCUCUGAGUGAGGUGUCCCAGUCAGCCUAGGGUGAUGCUCUGGAGAAAGCUGCAGGUAUAGGCUGCGUCUAGUUUAUACGUUAUAAGCUAGACAUAACUUGUACAUGAGUAAUAGAUACACUGGCUGGUAAAGAACAUAUGGGUAGGGCACCACAGCAUCUACUAAAGGAGGUCAAGAAGGUAAGACUCAGAAAAGGUUAAGACCCAGAGUGUUCUUAGGGAUAUAGUGGGUCUCAGUGUCAAGAAUGAAUUAUUAUGGUACGGGAAUGAAUGAACACCAACCACUUCCCCGUUACUAGAACACUCUACUUAAAUUCAAAGUCCAGGGGGAAGGGCUUUGAUUGAACAUUAGAAUAGAGAAGCUCCCUUUUUCUGUGGGUCAGUAAUCUGGGAACACACAAAAUUGGAACUGAAGGAAAUCAGUCUGCAGUAGGAGAGAAUGAGGGCACGCGCAGCAGGACAGAGAGCUGAGAGGUGGAGUCUGAGAUCUGAUACCGUCAGGCGUGGCUCCAUCCAUAAUGAAGGCAGUGUCACCCCUGAACUUCUCAGCCAGUAAAUUCCCUUUAGUUUAAACUAAUUGGGGGAGAUUUAUAGCACUUGCAAUCAAAUGAGCUGUAGUCUGCAAGAUUUGACCCCCGAUGUUGCUCCUGUGAAUAUGUUAUGUCACGUAGCACAAGGGGCUUUGCAGAUGUAAUGAAGGUUACUGAUCAGCUGACCUUAAAAUAGGGAGAUUGCCCUGCAUUGUUGGAGAGGCCUAAUGUAAUCACAUAAACCCUGAAAAGCAGAGAUGUUUCUCUGGCUGGCAGCAGGAGGGCACGUCAGAGAUGUGAGAUGCUGCUGUUGGCUUGAAGACGAAGGGCCCCUGUGUCAAGGAAAUGGGGAUCUCAGUCCUCAACAGCAGGGAACUGAAUUCUACUUCAAAGUGGGGUCUCCCCCAGAGCUUCCAGGUGAGAUCCCAGCCCAGCUAACACCUCGAUUUCUGCCUGUGCUCCCUGGCUGGAGAUCUCUUGUGCCCGAACUUCUGGCCCACAGAACUGUGGAUAGUAACCGGGUAUUGUUUUAAGCCACUACAUUUAUGAUUAGUUGUUAUGGCAGCAAUUGAAAACUCAUAGAUGAGCCAAGU